rnacentral:rRNA from 1 species
UAUAUCCUACGGGGCGCAGCAGUGAGGAAUAUUGGUCAAUGGGCGCGAGCCUGAACCAGCCAAGUCGCGUGAGGGAAGACGGUCCUAUGGAUUGUAAACCUCUUUUGUCGGGGAGCAAAAGACGCCACGCGUGGCGUUCCGAGAGUACCCGAAGAAAAAGCAUCGGCUAACUACGUGCCAGCAGCCGCGGUAAUACGUAGGGAGCAAGCGUUGUCCGGAAUUACUGGGCGUAAAGGGCGCGUAGGUGGGUGCUUAAGUCAGGUGUGAAAACUCUGGGCUCAACCUGGAGACUGCACUUGAAACUG